rnacentral:rRNA from 1 species
AUUGAACGCUGGCGGAAUGCUUUACACAUGCAAGUCGAACGGCAGCACGGACUUCGGUCUGGUGGCGAGUGGCGAACGGGUGAGUAAUACAUCGGAACGUGCCCAGUCGUGGGGAUAACGUAGCGAAAGCUACGCUAAUACCGCAUACGAUCUAAGGAUGAAUGCGGGGGAUCGCAAGACCUCGCGCGAUUGGAGCGGCCGAUGGCAGAUUAGGUAAUUGGGAGGGUAAAGGCCUACCAAGCCGACGAUCUGUAGCUGGUCUGAGAGGAUGAUCAGCCACACUGGGACUGAGACACGGCCCAGACUCCUACGGGAGGCAGCAGUGGGGAAUUUUGGACAAUGGGCGAAAGCCUGAUCCAGCCAUGCCGCGUGUGUGAAGAAGGUCUUCGGAUUGUAAAGCACUUUAAGUUGGGAGGAAGGGCAGUAAGCUAAUACCUUGCUGUUUUGACGUUACCGACAGAAUAAGCACCGGCUAACUCUGUGCCAGCAGCCGCAGUAA